rnacentral:rRNA from 1 species
UACGUAGGGAGCAAGCGUUAUCCGGAAUUAUUGGGUGUAAAGGGUGCGUAGACGGGAAGAUAAGUUGGUUGUGAAAUCCCUCGGCUUAACUGAGGGACUGCAACCAAAACUGUUUUUCUUGAGUGCAGGAGAGGAAAGCGGAAUUCCUAGUGUAGCGGUGAAAUGCGUAGAUAUUAGGAGGAACACCAGUGGCGAAGGCGGCAUUCUGGACUGUAACUGACGUUGAGGCACGAAAGUGUGGGGAGCAAAC